GGCGGCGUGCUUAACACAUGCAAGUCGAACGCGCAGCAUUCUGUAGCAAUACAGGGUGUGGGCGCGUGGCGAACGGGUGCGUAACACGUGGAUAACCUUCCUUCAGGUGGGGAAUAACCCAGUGAAAACUGGGCUAAUACCGCAUAACAUGACGAUGGCACAUGCUGUUGUCUUCAAAGGCGCAAGUCGCCAGAAGAGGGAUCCGCGGCCGAUUAGCUUGUUGGCGAGGUAAUGGCUCACCAAGGCAUUGAUCGGUAGCCGGACUGAGAGGUUGGCCGGCCACACUGGAACUGAGACACGGUCCAGACUCCUACGGGAGGCAGCAGUGGGGAAUCUUGCACAAUGGACGAAAGUCUGAUGCAGCAGCGCCGCGUGGGGGAUGAAGCUUCUCGGAGUGUAAACCCCUUUCGACCCGGAAGAAUGCCCGCAAGGGUUUGACGGUACGGGUAUAAGAAGCCCCGGCUAACUACGUGCCAGCAGCCGCGGUAAUACGUA
rnacentral:rRNA from 1 species